rnacentral:piRNA from 1 species
UUUUUAAAAAGUAAAAAUACUCAUUGGGAC